rnacentral:rRNA from 1 species
GACGAACGCUGGCGGCGUGCUUAACACAUGCAAGUCGGACAGUGGCGAACGGGUGAGUAACGCGUAGGUAACUGCCUGGUAGCGGGGGAUAACUAUUGGAAACGAUAGCUAAUACCGCAUACUACCAGAUGGACCUGCGUUGUAUUAGCUAGUUGGUGGGGUAACGGCUCACCAAGGCAACGAUACAUAGCCGACCUGAGAGGGUGAUCGGCCACACUAGGACUGAGAAACGGCCCAGACUCCUACGGGAGGCAGCAGUAGGGAAUCUUCGGCAAUGGGGGGAACCCUGACCGAGCAACGCCGCGUGAGUGAAGAAGGUUUUCGGAUCGUAAAGCUCUGUUGUUAAGGAAGCGGUACUUAACCAGAAAGGGACGGCUAACUACGUGCCAGCAGCCGCGGUAAUAC